UGUGAACACGGCCCCAAGGACCGCAAUCACAGCUUUCUUUCUGGGAUCUGAAAUCUUUAGUGUUGCGAUCAGUGCACAAGGCCUGCGAUCGCAGCUAAGCUAUUCGGAUGUGCAACUACAACGAUUUAUCACUUUUCUCAACUCCCACACCUCAAACUCGGUCCAAGAAGAUGAAAUCACUCCCCACUUCAUCUCGAUUUCAAGAAUUUUGGUUGGAUAACUGUGGCCAAGACAUGAAUUAGCCUUCUCUUUACAUUAGUUUUACAAUAAAUCUGUACAGUAUUAACUCCCAAGGCUCAAAACCUACAAAACCUAAAACCUCCUUUGAGCAAUGGAGCUAGUUACAAGUUUGAACAGAUCUGUAAAUUCGUUUCUGCAUCAACAUUUUACAUUGAUGAAUGGGCGAAUUUGGAAACAAAAUGAAAAAAAAGGAGGAAAUAACUAUCUUCUUAGCUUGCUUGAAGAGCUUGAAAUUGCCUGCUGCUGCAGAUAUCUCAAAGUCUUUUGAUGAUUAAGGAAUCCCAUAAACCAGAACUCAAAAUCAUCCUCUGUAACUACUUAAAUAUACUUCUGUGAUAGUUUUUCCCUAUUUUCGCUCUCUUUUGCUUUCUUUGUCUUACUUAUUGGGAUCAGUACCUGCAAUUGUUAACCAACCUAUUAGAUUAUGCUUUACAUGGCUAGAACAUUAAAGUUGAAAGAAAACCAGAGGAGGGGUAUGUUAUGGAUGCAUUUGUUGGCAGACAAUUUACUAGACGCAAUUAAUAAGAUAGAUAAUGAUUGAUAUUUUCUGAA